rfam:Hepatitis C virus subtype 2c isolate HCV-2c/GB/BID-G1293, complete genome
UUCCCUCAUCAGCCGGGGGGGGAGGGCGGCCACAUGUGGCCGCUACCUCUUCAACUGGGCUGUGAAGACG